rnacentral:rRNA from 1 species
GAGUUUGAUCGUGGCUCAGGAUGAACGCCGGCGGUGUGCCUAAUACAUGCAAGUCGUACGCACUGGCCCAACUGAUUGAUGGUGCUUGCACCUGAUCGACGAUGGAUCACCAGUGAGUGGCGGACGGGUGAGUAACACGUAGGUAACCUGCCCUGUACAGGGGGAUAACAAUCAGAAAUGACUGCUAAUACCGCAUAAGACCACAGCACCGCAUGGUGCAGGGGUAAAAACUCCGGUGGUACAGGAUGGACCCGCGUCUGAUUAGCUGGUUGGUGAGGUAACGGCUCACCAAGGCGACGAUCAGUAGCCGGCUUGAGAGAGUGAACGGCCACAUUGGGACUGAGACACGGCCCAAACUCCUACGGGAGGCAGCAGUGGGGAAUAUUGCACAAUGGGGGAAACCCUGAUGCAGCAACGCCGCGUGAGUGAAGAGUAUUUCGGUAUGUAAAGCUCUAUCAGCAGGGAAGAAAGUGACGGUACCUGACUAAGAAGCCCGGCUACUACG